UACAGGGGGGGCGAGCGUUGUUCGGAAUUACUGGGCGUAAAGGGUGCGCAGGCGGUUAUAUAAGACAGAUGUGAAAUCCCCGGGCUCAACCUGGGAACUGCGUUUGUGACUGUAUGACUAGAGUACGGUAGAGAGGGGUGGAAUUCCUGGUGUAGCAGUGAAAUGCGUAGAUAUCAGGAGGAACAUCGAUGGCGAAGGCAGCCCCUUGGACCUGUACUGACGCUCAUGCACGAAAGCGUGGGGAGCAAACAGG
rnacentral:rRNA from 1 species